GAGGAAUAUUGGUCAAUGGGCGAGAGCCUGAACCAGCCAAGUCGCGUGAAGGAUGACUGUCUUAUGGAUUGUAAACUUCUUUUAUACGGGAAUAACAAGAGUCACGUGUGACUCCCUGCAUGUACCGUAUGAAUAAGCAUCGGCUAACUCCGUGCCAGCAGCCGCGGUAAUACGGAGGAUGCGAGCGUUAUCCGGAUUUAUUGGGUUUAAAGGGUGCGUAGGCGGUUUGUUAAGUCAGCGGUGAAAUCUAGAGGCUCAACCUCGAAACUGCCGUUGAAACUGGCGAACUUGAGUGUAGAUGAGGUAGGCGGAAUUCGUGGUGUAGCGGUGAAAUGCAUAGAUAUCACGAGGAACUCCGAUUGCGCAGGCAGCUUACUAAGGUACAACUGACGCUGAAGCACGAAAGCGUGGGUAUCAAACAGGAUUAGAUACCCUGGUAGUCCACGCAGUAAGCGAUGAUAACUGGGCGUAUGCGAUAUACAGUAUGCUCCUAAGCGAAAGCGUUAAGUUAUCCACCUGGGGAGUACGCCGGCAACGGUG
rnacentral:rRNA from 1 species